UGCAGCCCUUCAAAUUCGUUCCCUGCCUCCUCCAUGGUAGGGAGCGGCCAACCGGCUGCCACAGCACCUGGUGCUUCCACGAGCUCCAUGUCCCCUUCCAGUGGGACACUGGGGGGUAAAAUGACACAGACACAU